AAUGAACGUUGGCGGCAUGGAUUAGGCAUGCAAGUCGGGGGAAUCCCAGCAAUGGGGGAACCGGCGUAAGGGGCAGUAAGGCAUGGGUACCUACCUUGGGGUUCGGGAUAGCCAUCAGAGAUGGUGGGUAAUACCGGAUGACGUCGUGAAACCAAAGAUUUAUCGCCCUUAGAGGGGCCCAUGUGAGAUUAGCUAGUUGGUGGGGUAACGGCCCACCAAGGCGAAGAUGUCUAGCGGGUGUGAGAGCACGACCCGCGCCACUCGCACUGAGACACUGGCGAGACACCUACGGGUGGCUGCAGUCGAGGAUCUUCGGCAAUGAGCGCAAGCUUGACCGAGCGAUGCCGCGUGAGCGAUGAAGGCCUUCGGGUUGUAAAGCUCUUUAGUGGGGGAGAAAAGCCGCAAGGUGUGAUCUAUCCCAAAAAUAAGCACGGGCUAAGUUCGUGCCAGCCGCCGCGGUAA
rnacentral:rRNA from 1 species